GGUUAACCUAACGGUUCCGCGGAGGCGACGCGUCCAUGGGCAGUACCGCCGACAAAGGAGCCAGGAUGGUGUUAGUUCAUGUCGGAUAUCUGGUUCUCCCCGUGUUCGGUUCAGUAAGAAGCAGAGUCUGGAGGCUGCCUCUACAUCCCGCAUUUCUCAGACCUCUCUCCCCCCUUCCAUUGUGCUAAAGCCUCUCUGCCUGUCCCUCUACCUCAUCCCCUCUUUCCAUCCGAAGACGACAUUGGCAUUAAAAAAAAAACAAACAAACAAAAACCCCCCUCUCAGAAUAACGUUCCCACUCAUCCAUGUGUUCUCUGCUGAUUUCCAUGUGUCCUCCCUUCAAGCCCCACCCCUUUCCACUGUUUGGCCUCUUUGGCCCCUCCCCUCAGGCUCAUUUCUCAGCUCCUCCCACUUGCCAAGCUGAAUCAUGGGAACUUUCACCCUCGUGCCUCUGGGAAACAUAGCCGCUAGAACGCAGAGGCGAGCUGUCACUUUCGCUCAGUCCAAGCACAUCUCCAUCUGCACCUGUCUCGUUCUCUCUUUCCUUUCUUUCUUUCUCCCUUUCCUUCCUUUCUUCCUCUAUCUACAAGCACAUGAUUCUUCGUUUUCUUAAACGGACCCAAAGCUUAAACCUGGCGGAUGCUGUAUUUACAGCUUUGGGAUGAUGUUCACCGUAGGGUCAGGUGUGGUGUGGGAUCCGAUCUAAAUAUUUGUUCUCAUUGUUAAGUAAGAAAAUGUUCACCUGGCCAUGUUCAGAAGGAAAACACUGCACAUAAACAUAUACCACUGACAGAACAGGCCCUAGAGCAGAGCUUUAAGUGGGCCCAGUCCUGAACACAGCCCAAGAAUUUUAUGUCCGAGGCCAACCCGGCCCAAAACGCAACCCAAAAUUGGUCUAAACGCAUCACAUUUUGAGUCGAUCCUGUCAGAAGCUGACCCUACCUGAACCACAUCAAGUUUUGAGUCCAAAACUGAUCCAAAUCUGUCCAUCAUCGCCCAAAAUGCAGAAUAAAAUCUGGCUGGACAGCACUGGUUACCAUGUAGUGACAAUAUUAGCAACUAGAUCACAGAUAAAAAUAAUUUUUUUAAAUAAUACACUAUAAUAAAACAGCAGUUUAAGUACUGUCUUUAGUCUACCCUCUGGCUACAGAUGGUUCUUUAGGGGUUCUUCAAGAAAGACAGUGGUUCUGUAUAGAACCGUGAACACUCAGAACCGUUUGCAUGGUGAAAUGGUUCUCCAGAUUGAUGGUGAAUGUGCUGUAUAUGGUUCUGUAGAGAACUUUUUGAAAAGGAUACUAUAUAGCACCAAAAGAGCUUGACUUCACAACAAUAGCAGACCCCUUUUUGGUGCUAUGUACAUACAUUGUCCAUCAAUCUGAAGAACCUUUUCACCAUGCAAAGAACAGCUUAACC